GCCUUCGUGGUGUAGUGGCAAGCACGCUCGAUGCGUAUUUGAGUGCUCCGUGGUUCGACUCCCGGCGAGAGCA
rfam:Stegodyphus mimosarum contig42930, whole genome shotgun sequence.